rnacentral:rRNA from 1 species
ACUGGGCGUAAAGGGCACGCAGGCGGUGACUUAAGUGAGGUGUGAAAGCCCCGGGCUUAACCUGGGAAUUGCAUUUCAUACUGGGUCGCUAGAGUACUUUAGGGAGGGGUAGAAUUCCACGUGUAGCGGUGAAAUGCGUAGAGAUGUGGAGGAAUACCGAAGGCGAAGGCAGCCCCUUGGGAAUGUACUGACGCUCAUGUGCGAAAGCGUGGGGAGCAAACAGGAUUAGAUACCCUGGUAGUCCACGCUGUAAACGAUGUCGAUUUGGGGGUUGAGCUUUGAGUUUGGCGCCCGUAGCUAACGUGAUAAAUCGACCGCCUGGGGAGUACGGCCGCAAGGUUAAAACUCAAAUGAAUUGACGGGGGCCCGCACAAGCGGUGGAGCAUGUGGUUUAAUUCGAUGCAACGCGAAGAACCUUACCUACUCUUGACAUCCAGAGAACAUUCCAGAGAUGGAUUGGUGCCUUCGGGAACUCUGAGACAGGUGCUGCAUGGCUGUCGUCAGCUCGUGUCGUGAG